rnacentral:lncRNA from 1 species
ACUCAGCCCGAUUCCAAAAGCCCAGGGGGUGGGCCUCGCCCUUCCUCUCCCUCCAGGUUUAAUUAUCUGAAGAGUCUUGGACUUUCAUUUCUUGUUUUUUGUUUGUUUGCUUGUUUGUUUGCACCUGGUUGAUGUAUAAGUCUUGGACUUUGGGAGACCCAAAAGAGAAAGAAGGUGUUGGCAAUAUCCUUGAAGAGACUAAAAGAUCUCAGAACAACACUGAACAAGCCAGCAGAGCCAUCGACUCACCCCUACAGUCUCCAUAGACAGACUCCAUGAAAGCAUUGGCUAUCGGCUCUCACUGGUUUCUGCCCCAAAUUCACACGCUCCCUCCUAUCACCAAAGCCACCUGCCACCGCUGGCCUCCUGCAUGCUGUGGGAGGAGAGCAGGGCAGACAACGUUGCCUCCCCUGACUCCCAUCGCGCGGGCUUCAAACACUCAAUGAGACAACCAUGGACCCUAGGGAUGCAACAGUGAAGGAGACGCAGCCUUUCAACACCUGGCAGGGCAGAGACACUUCAACAGUCAUUGCCAGCCCCAGUGGACAAUGGAAGGAGGCCACCAGCCAAGAAAUGCUGUCAGUGCCUGGAAGCUGGAAAGGCAAUGAAAUGGAUUUUCCCCGGAACCUCCAGGGAGAAUAUAGCACAGCCUCUACCUUGAUUUUCACCCAGUGAGACACAUUUUGGAUUUCUGACCUACAGAAUUGUAAGGCUGCCUGGAUCCCCACAGUUUGUCUGGAAAGCCUCUUGAGAUGGGAUUAUAUGCUCCGAGGAUCCCAGGAGGAAGGAUGGGGCAACAGCAGACUAAACUACGCCUCUGCAGCAGCUGUACCGUUGUCCUGGGAGUGAGCCCCAGCUGUGGCUCAAGGCACACGUGCCUCCAGAGGACAAUCUGGGAUGCUCAGGGGACAGAGAGGCAGAGGGACUAUCAGGGUGAAGCUGUCUUUUUCAUUUCUUUGGCGCUCAGCCCAGGGCCUGGAUUUAUCCUGCACAAAAUGAACAAUGCAGGGCCCUUCAUCUGGGGAAAG